UGUACAGUUGUAGCUGCGAGUCCAGAA
rnacentral:piRNA from 1 species